AUUGAACGCUGGCGGCAUGCUUUACACAUGCAAGUCGAACGGUAACAGGUCUUCGGAUGCUGACGAGUGGCGAACGGGUGCGUAAUACAUCGGAACGUGCCUAGUAGUGGGGGAUAACUACUCGAAAGAGUAGCUAAUACCGCAUGAGAUCUACGGAUGAAAGCAGGGGACCUUCGGGCCUUGUGCUACUAGAGCGGCUGAUGGCAGAUUAGGUAGUUGGUGGGGUAAAGGCUUACCAAGCCUGCGAUCUGUAGCUGGUCUGAGAGGACGACCAGCCACACUGGGACUGAGACACGGCCCAGACUCCUACGGGAGGCAGCAGUGGGGAAUUUUGGACAAUGGGCGAAAGCCUGAUCCAGCAAUGCCGCGUGCAGGAUGAAGGCCCUCGGGUUGUAUACUGCUUUUGUACGGAACGAAAAGCCUGGGGCUAAUAUCCCCGGGUCAUGACGGUACCGUAAGAAUAAGCACCGGCUAACUACGUG
rnacentral:rRNA from 1 species